rnacentral:rRNA from 1 species
GACGUAGGGCGCGAGCGUUGUCCGGAUUUAUUGGGCGUAAAGAGCUCGUAGGCGGCUUGUUGCGUCGACUGUGAAAACCCGCGGCUUAACUGCGGGCUUGCAGUUGAUACGGGCAGACUUGAGUUCGGCAGGGGAGACUGGAAUUCCUGGUGUAGCGGUGAAAUGCGCAGAUAUCAGGAGGAACACCGGUGGCGAAGGCGGGUCUCUGGGCCGAUACUGACGCUGAGGAGCGAAAGCGUGGGGAGCGAACAGG